AAGCCCUCAGCUCCUGCCCGAGAGUUUCUGUAAUUCGCUCCCACACCACGUCAUGCCUUUUGGCUCCCAGCCAGCUUUCGGUUGUCCUGAUAAGAGGAUGCAGCAUUUGAGCAGCAGCUUCUGGAACCCAGAGUGAAGCCCCACCCAGGCACCCUGACAGCACCACGGGAAUGCUCCCGGCACAGCAAAUGGGACUCUGGAGAAGCACAGCCUCCGUGCUCCUUGUAGAUGUUCAGUUCAAACUCCACAGUUUGUGUGACUCACUGAGGGGCUUGGUUUGGUUCUUGCUCACGAGUCUGUCAUCGGUGCCAGGUGAGGUUACCAGGACCGUCAGCCUGAGGAGAAUCAGCUCUUCCACACCAAAUCCUGACGAUCACAUGGCAGAGUGAGCAGGAGCGAGGUACCAGCAGCCCUCGUAGGUGGGUCAUGCACCCCCUAGUGUCCCAUGUCCCCACUGUUCCCUGUGGCUAUAUCCAUUCCACUUGACUUACUU
rnacentral:lncRNA from 1 species